AUGCGCUCUCUCGCCGAGCUACUGCUCAUAAUACUGUUCCUGUGUCUGCUUCGCGCGCAGCCGCUGGACACGAGCUGCGCGCCGGCGGCCUGUGGCAACCUGACCAUCACGUAUCCGUUCUGGCUGCGCGGCCACCACGAACCUAGCUGCGGCUACCCGACCUUCGGCGUCACAUGCGACGACCCCACUGGCGCCACGCCGCCCAGCCUCGGCGAGUCCUACCUCCGCCUCCUGGACAUCAGCUACGGCAACCGCUCUGUCGUGGCCUUCCACAGCAGCCUCGCCGCCAACAGCAGCGACCCCUGCCGGGCGACGCGGUUCAACCUGUCCAGCAGCCUCACGCUCUCACCGCUGGCCGUCAGCGGCGCCAACUGGGAGCUCUUCUUCUCCAACAACUGCUCGCGCGCGCCGCCGCCGCCCGCGGGGGCGCUCUGGCUCAAAAAUUGCUCCGGCAGGGGUACGUGGUCCGUGCACCUCAGAGGGAGGUACGAGGCUACAGCGUCGCGGCCAGCAGAGUGCAAGUACUCGGUGGUGCCGGUGCUGCCCGGGGCGGAGCUGACGGCAUGGGCUGACUACGCGGGAAUCGUGAGGCGCGGGUUCCUGCUGGAGUGGACGGUGCCCGGGGACUGUGCGGCGUGCACCGCGACCGGCGGCCGGUGCCGGUUCGAGGCCGGCGCCAACGCGUUCGGGUGUCUCUGCCCCGGCAGCCGCAUGCACCCGGCCACGUGCGGUAGCAAGGGGACUAGCAAGAAGAUUAUUCUAAUAGCUGUGACAUCAGCUGCUGGAGCCUUGCUCUUUACAUGUAUUUAUGUCCUGGUAUGGCGCAAAAAAGGUAAAAGACUAAGGUUUCUCCUUUGCAAGAAGACUAGCAGCAACACGGAAAAGAAUUAUGAGGCCAUGAUAGUAUCGUACGGAUCCCUAGCUCCAAAAAGAUACAUGUAUUCAGAGGUAAUGAAGAUAACAUCUUCUCGCAGCGAUCAGCUUGGAAAAGGAGGUUAUGGUGUUGUUUUCAAAGGAAGACUGCAUGAUGGUCGUCUGGUCGCAGUAAAAUUCUUGCAUGACUGCAAAGGAAAUGGGGACGAGUUUGUUAAUGAAGUUAUGAGCAUUGGCAGGACCUCUCAUGUUAAUGUUGUUAGUUUAUAUGGGUUUUGUUUGGAGGGAUCAAAGCGAGCUCUUAUAUAUGAGUACAUGCCCAACGGUUCCUUGGAUAAGUACAUUUAUUCAGAGCACCCCAAAGAAAUUUUAGGAUGGGAGAGGCUUUAUGGGAUAGCAAUAGGGAUUGCUUGUGGCCUCGAAUACUUGCACCAUAGUUGUAAUACACGUAUCGUCCAUUUCGAUAUCAAGCCCCAAAAUAUCCUUCUAGACAAAGAUUUUAGACCAAAGAUUGCUGAUUUUGGUCUAGCUAAAUUGUGUCAUACAAAAGAGAGCAAGGUUUCAAUGAUUGGUACUAGAGGAACAAUUGGAUUCAUCGCCCCAGAAGUUCACUCGCGAACCUUUGGAGUGGUUUCAACAAAAUCGGAUGUUUAUAGUUAUGGAAUGAUGCUUCUGGAGAUGGUUGGAGGUAGGAGAAACGUAAAAUCAAUUGUUGCAAAAUCCAGCGAAAAAUAUUUUCCAGAUUGGAUUUAUGACCACUUUGCGCAAGAUGAUGGACUACAAGCAUGUGAAGUCACAUCAGAAAUUGAGGAAAUCGCAAGAAAGAUGACCUUAAUUGGCUUGUGGUGCGUACAAAUAUUGCCUGCAUAUCGCCCUACCAUAACAAAAGUUCUAGAAAUGUUCGAGAGAAGCUCAGAUGACAUGGACAAGCCACCGAAGCAAAACUUCUCUGGAUUGCUUGAAAGUUCAGCUCACAAUAUGGAUGUACAAAGUUCAAGCUCUACCAGAUCUGAGGAGAUCAGCCUUGUGAAUUCAAAAAACCUACAAAAAUCGCCAACUCUUUGA
rnacentral:rRNA from 1 species